AUGGGGCGGAAGCGCGCGGUGCUGGUGGGCAUCAACUACGCGGGCACCAAGGCGGAGCUCAAGGGCUGCCACAACGACGUGGCCCGCAUGCGCCGCUGCCUCGUCGACCGCUUCGGCUUCGAAGACGCCGGCAUCCGCGUCCUCUCCGACGCCGACCGGGCCGCGCCGCAGCAGCAGCCCACGGGCGCCAACAUCCGCCGCGAGCUCGCGCGCCUCGUCGCCGACGCGCGCCCCGGGGACUCCCUCUUCUUCCACUACAGCGGCCACGGCACGCGCCUGCCGGCCGAGACCGGCCAGGACGACGACACCGGCUUCGACGAGUGCAUCGUCCCCUCCGACAUGAACCUCAUCACAGACCAAGAUUUCACAGAGCUCGUGCAGAAAGUCCCAGAUGGCUGCCUGUUCACCAUAGUCUCUGACUCUUGCCACAGCGGUGGCCUGCUUGACAAGGCCAAGGAGCAGAUUGGCCACAGCACAAAGCAGAACAAGGCGCAGCAAGGCAAACGGGAAGAGCGGUCUGAUUCCGGCUCGGGCGGCUUCCGGUCGUUCCUCAAACAGACCGUCCGGGACGCGUUCGAGUCCCAAGGAGUCCACCUCCCUCGCCGCGGCGGCCAGCAGAGCAGCUACGACGACGACGACGCUGAGGCCGAGGCGCCGAGCCUGGACUCAGGCACAGACGGGCACGUGAAGAACCGGUCGCUGCCCCUCUCGACAUUCAUCGAGAUGCUCAAGGAGAAGACGGGGAAGGAGGACAUCGAGGUGGGGUCGAUCCGGAUGACGCUGUUCAACGUCUUCGGCGAGGACGCGAGCCCCAAGAUCAAGAAGUUCAUGAAGGUGAUGCUGGAGAAGCUGCAGCAGGGGCAGCACGGCGGCGUGGUGGGCCUGGUGGGCGCGCUGGCACAGGAGCUGCUGAGGGCCAAGCUGCAGGGCAAGCAGGAGGAGCUGAAGCCGGCCAUGGAGCAGGAGGUGCACGGCGUGGAGGAGGUGUACGCCGGGACGGCGGCGAGGGCGCCCCACAACGGCGUCCUCAUCAGCGGGUGCCAGACCGACCAGACCUCGGCGGACGCGACGACCGCCAAGGGCCUGUCCUACGGCGCGCUCAGCAACGCCAUCCAGGCCAUCCUCGCGGAGAAGGACGGCAAGGUGAGCAACAAGGAGCUGGUGCUGAGGGCGCGCGGGCUGCUGUCCAAGCAGGGGUACAAGCAGCAGCCUGGGCUCUACUGCAGCGACAGGCACACCGAGGUGGCUUUCAUAUGCUGA
rnacentral:rRNA from 1 species